CUUGAGAGAACAGGGGUGCAAUGAAAGACUGUAAGCAGAGGCAAGAUGGCACAAAGUUGUCCUUCGGAAAGAUUAGUGUGGUUGCUGUGUAGAGAACUGAUUGGGAGGUGAGUGUGGCUGAACUACAGGCAAAGAGACUAAUUAAGAAGCUCUCCCAGCAAUCCAAGUGAGAGAUUGAUUAAUCAGGAUUGCUAUGCCAUUUGCAGCAACAUGGAUGGAACUAGAGAAUCUCAUACUGAGUGGAAUGAGCCAGAAAGACAAAGACAAAUACCAUAUGAUAUCACUUAUAACUGGAAUCUAAUAUCCAGCACAAAUGAACAUCUCCUCAGAAAAGAAAAUCAUGGACUUGGAGAAGAAACUUGUGGUUGCCUGACGGGAGGGGGAGGGAGGGGGAGGGAGUGGGAGGGAUCAGGAGCUUGGGCUUAUCAGACACAACCUAGAAUAGAUUUACAAGGAGAUCCUGCUGAAUAGCAUUGAGAACUAUGUCUAGAUACUCAUGUUGCAACAGAAGAAAGGGCGGGGGAAAAACUGUAAUUGCAAUGUAUACAUCUAAGGAUAACCUGACCCCCUUGGUGUACAGUGGGAAAAAAAAUAAAAUAAAAUAUAUUUACUCUUUGUAGUUGAAAGUUGAGAUUAUUUGCAAAAUUAAUUAUAUUUUAAAGGACUAACAAAUCGAUGCAUGUAGGUUUGAAACAAGAAGCAUUAUGUUUAGGGACUGCGCAAUACACUAACUAGUCAGAGAUAAAAUGAGAAAGGCAUGCACAUUACAAACUCGGAAUUUGCUAGCAAGGUCAACUUAAUCUUUCCAGAGCAAUCAUUUCCACCUUUGGAACUUAUAGUCAUUAUCAAGGGAUGGAGUAAAAGAAAAGUGAGAGAGUGUUCAUGGCCAUUUAAAUUCAACUGCUUUUUCUGCAUGUACUAUCCCCACUGCCACCUGUCUCAGAAUAGUGAGUUUUUCAGGUAGGUGUAUGCCAUCAAUUUUUAUAAGGCCAAGUAGGAGGUUCUCCAGUUACCGCACGGACCAUUAGCAUAGCAAAUAAAUUUGGCUCUUUCUUAAAGACUAUUCAGAAUCUGACCAAUUCUUAGCAACUCACUGCCACACUCCUGAGCCAAGGCACCAUCCUCUUCUUCCUAACUUUUAUCUUCUAAGUCCUCCCUCACCUUCUUCCCUUGCCUUCCUAUACUCUAGUCUAGAAGAAAAGCAGCCUGAGUAAACCUUUUAAAACGUAGGUCAAAUCAUGUGAUGACUCUUGCUCAAAAUCUCCCAACAGCUCCUGUUUUUUUCUAAAAGUAAAAAUCCAUUUAAAAUACGGAGUUCCUGUUGUGCCUCAGCAGUAAUGAACCUGAUUAGUAUCCUUGAGGAUGUGGGUUCAAUCCCUGGCUCCCUUCAGUAGGUUAGGGAUCUGGUGUUGUAGUGAGCUGUGGUGUAGGUUGCAGAUGCAGCUUGGAUCUGGAGUUGCUGUGGCUGUGGCAUACGCUGGCAGCUACAGCUCCAAUUCAACCCGUAGCCUGGGAAUUUCAUAUGCCACAAGUAUGGCCCUUAAAAAAUAAAAUAAAAUAAAAUAAAAUAAAAUAAAAUAAACAAAUACAUAAAUAAAAUGAGUAUGAGUCCUUUGUGAUAAGUUCCUGAUCUCAUCUCUCAUUACUUCCCCCUUACUCUCUCAUUCUAUAAUAGGAGAGAACAAAUCUGACUGCAUAUUAGAUCUGUUCCUUUUUCCUUUAACUUUAAACUUAGUACUUUGUCACUUGUGCUUAGUCUUCCUGGCUUUGUAACCCUUUGCAAAAGGUCACUGCCUAUAGCAUGAAAUAUAUAGGCUAGCCUAUUCUUAAGGCUGUGACCUUUAAGAGUAGUAUAUUUUUAGAUAAAAAGUUGCAGAACAGAGAAUAACAUUUGUUUUGUUGGAGGUUUACAGGAACAUCUGACCUGAUUGAGGUGGACAUCUACAAGAACAGAGACUUUUGGCACCAAGAAGUCUGCAAAAACUAACUGUUCCACCUCUACUUUCUUGAAUAGAAGGAGCCUGAAUUCUCACUAAGGGGAGAUGGUUUUUUGAGACAUUAGUCUCCCAUAUUCUCCGUCUGCUAGCUUUCCUAUUAAAAGUUUUUGCUUCUUGCCCAAACAACUUGUCUACCAAGUUAUUGGCCUGUCUUGUGGGGAGCAGAAUGAGCUUGGACUCAGGAACCUUUCCAGCCAUUCUGGUCUCCUCAGUGCCUCUUGAUCACCUCAGGCAUGUUCCUGUCUCAAGGCCUUUGCACUUAUUGUUUCCUCUCCCUAGACAUCUUUAGAAGUUCCUGGGCCAGGGAUUGGACCUGCACCCCAGCAGUGGCCUGAACCACAGCCGUGGCAAUGCCAGAUCCUUUAACCACUAGGCCAGUAGGGGAUUUCUUUACCCAGGUUUCUACAUGAUUCACUCCCUCGGCAAUAUCAGGUCAGUAUUGUAUGAUCACAUUCAUACACAUUCACAAUCUUCAGCAUUGAGAACAGACUUGAUAUGUCGUAGGUACUACAUAAUGAGUUGACGAAUGAUGCUAAAAUCUCUACGUAGUCAAAGCAACAUUCAUUCAUGAGUACAAACAAUUUUCUCCUUAAUUAACAUAUAUAGAUGUGAUACAUCAGCUUUAAAUAUUUCAUAUUUAAAUAUAUCAUGCAAGUAAACAGGAAACAUUUUAGGUUUCCUCUAAAACAAAAAACUCUGAAAAUUUUUGAUACAUGGCUUAUGAAGAAAUUAAAAUGUAACAGGUAACUAAAGUUCAAGAAAAGGUUUAAGUGAUAUAAAAAGGUCACUUAUGUGCCUUUUGAGGCUGGUGAGUCCUGAAAUGGAGAGCACUUAACCUUUUUUGAAUGCUGAGAGAGAUCUGGAUAUAGUUUGGGAUUUGAACUGGCUGAGCAGAGUUGCAUUGCUUUAUUGAGGGAGGUGGGAUUUGAAGUGAUAUUUUCCCUCCUGUUCUCUACCCCUUUAGUGCUGUAUGUGGAAAAUAAGGGAGAAAAGUGAAGAAGGAGAAGUCAGAGGGUGCACGCUCCUUAAGAAAUGACAACAGGAAUUUGUUGAGUGCCUACUUUGUUCAAGAUAUGGUAGCAGAGAGGCUGCACAUAUGUUAUCCCGUUUAAUUUUCACAAGGACUCUGUGAAGUAUAUAUUAUCUGCUCUUAGGAGAUAAGGAAGCUGAGAGAGGUCUAAAGAGCUUUCAUUUUUUUUUUUUUUUGCACAGAAUUUAUUGGUGCUGAGAUUGAACCUAAUCUGCUACAACACCUCUUUCUCCAAGAAUUACUGCUUGCGUGUGCUUUGAACCACUCUUUCCUUCUCGCUGAAAAGCAGGAGAUCUUUUUUCUUAGAAAAUAUUUUACAAAUUGGCAUUUGGUUUCCAGGUAAAUUCAUUAAAACUCUUCGUAAUGCAUAACGUAGCUGAAAGAUCCUGAUUGUUUCUAUGGAAAUAUGAGCUCAGAGUGCUAAACUGCCAACUUAACAAAUGAACUUCGGGGAUGUAAUCUGUUUCUCUUCUCUCAGGGGAGAUAAAUAGGUGGCAAUGUUCAAUUCCUCUACACAUUCUGGGUAUCAUCUUUCCAGAUAUCAUUUGGUUGCGUUGCACUUUCUCCCACCUCCAGAGUACAAAAGCUGCAAGAUUUUCUACCACACAGAAGUAAAUGCUGAGCCUCAGAGCCGAUUUUUCAUUUCAGACACUGCAGGUUUAAAUGUGCACUUGCGAGCUCCAAAUAUGAUUAUAAAUACAUCAGCCAAAGCAAACUGUAAUUUUUACAAAAUAAAUCUGGGGAGUAUGUUUUUCUGAAACCUAAUGCUCCUUGUCUAAGUGUGUAGUAGGAAAAGGAAAAGGAAGGAUGGGAGAAUAGCUCAUAUCCUAUUCAUUGGCAGUGCUGUAUCCCAUACAAAACCCAGUGAGGAAUAAUCAAGACAAAUGGCCUCAUCUCUCUUUCUUUGUCAGUUCCUAAGAGUGAGGUGUUUAAGAAAGCCAAGAACGCCUAGUCAAUUCAAAACAGAGUUGUCUAUUGCUACUCAAAAUACAGAAUCAGCUAUACCUAGGAACUUGUUAAAAUGCAAAUUCUCCAGCUUACGACAGGAAUCAGGAUGCAGCAAUCUGUCUUUUACAAGAUCUCUGAGUGAUUAUGAUGAAGCUAAAUGUCGAAAAGCAUGAACUAAAGUGAAGGGCUUAAACUGUGACCCAGGGAAUGGAGUUCAAGUCCUUGUAACAUCACUUGGUAGAGAAUUAUUUUGGGAGAAGUCAUGUAACCACUCUGAGUUUCCUGUUCCUUAUCUGUAAGAUAAAGCAGCUGAACUAACAUCCUUGAUGUGAUAUCCCUAACAUCAGAGCAUCUUGUGGUUACCUGAUGCUGGUAUGAAUGCCUCUCACAUUAAUAAGAUUUGGCUAUCAUUACUUGCUUGAAUUUCUCUCUUCUAGCUAAUGUGAUGAUGCUGACGAUGAUGAUGAUGGAGCAGUACUAAUACCUUUGUGCCUCCUGAGUGCCAUGCUCUUUGUGAGGAGUGACUUUUGUUUUACCUGUGUCCUCUACUAGUAAUUCUUUUGAUUUUAGUGUUAAUAAAACCUAGAGAGGUUAUGUAACAUCCUUAGGGUCACAAAGAAUGUGUAUGACAGUGCCAGGAUUCAAAUC
rnacentral:lncRNA from 1 species